UACGAAGGGUGCAAGCGUUACUCGGAAUUACUGGGCGUAAAGCGUGCGUAGGUGGUGAGUUAAGUCUGUCGUGAAAGCCCCGGGCUCAACCUGGAAAUGGCAUUGGAUACUAUUUAGCUUGAGGAGUGGAGGGGGGACUGGAAUUCUCGGUGUAGCAGUGAAAUGCGUAGAUAUCGAGAGGAACACCAGUGGCGAAGGCGAGUCCCUGGACACUUCCUGACACUGAGGCACGAAAGCUAGGGGAGCAAACAGG
rnacentral:rRNA from 1 species